ACGAAAUGAGAAAUUUGUAUCUAACAUGGAAAGGAUACUCAGCAGAGAGACAGCACUAGUGAAGAUGUCCCAUUCCUUGAAGAUGCUUCCUGCCCCCAAACGUCUGUGUUUUUAUGACUCUCUGCUCCCUGCUGGAUUUUGGUAUCUCUCCUAUGAAAUGGCUGCCAAUGGAGUGAGGAAGAGGAAGAGAGAAUCCCCUGCUCCUUUUCCUGCCCUUCAGUAGAAGGUAACACGAUAUCAAGCUGUAUACAUAUUUCCGUACUUAUCAUGUUGUGAAAGGAGACACCUCUAAUGCUAAAGAAAAAGUUAUAGAGGAAACAAAGUAAAAAAUGAUAUGCUUCAGUCUGCAUUUGGACUCCAUCAGUUCCUCCUAAGGCAGUUGUUAUCUUUUUUCUUCAUGAGUCCUUUGGAGAUGUCCUGGAUCCUUGCCUUGUUGAUAAUAGUUAAGUCAUUCACAGCUGAUCAUCAUAUGCUAUUUCCCCCCAAUUAUAUGUAAAAACAAGUUUUACCAUUUCUUUCUUUGUUAGUUUUUUUUAUUUUAAGUUCCAAAUUCUCUCUCUACUUCCCUCCCCCCCUCACUGAGAGGGAAAGCAAUUUGAUAUAUGU
rnacentral:lncRNA from 1 species